GGGUUGUGAGGUUAAGCGACUAAGCGUACACGGUGGAUGCCCUGGCAGUCAGAGGCGAUGAAGGACGUGCUAAUCUGCGAUAAGCGUCGGUAAGGUGAUAUGAACCGUUAUAACCGGCGAUUUCCGAAUGGGGAAACCCAGUGUGUUUCGACACACUAUCAUUAACUGAAUCCAUAGGUUAAUGAGGCGAACCGGGGGAACUGAAACAUCUAAGUACCCCGAGGAAAAGAAAUCAACCGAGAUUCCCCCAGUAGCGGCGAGCGAACGGGGAGCAGCCCAGAGCCUGAAUCAGUGUGUGUGUUAGUGGAAGCGUCUGGAAAGGCGCGCGAUACAGGGUGACAGCCCCGUACACAAAAAUGCACAUGCUGUGAGCUCGAUGAGUAGGGCGGGACACGUGGUAUCCUGUCUGAAUAUGGGGGGACCAUCCUCCAAGGCUAAAUACUCCUGACUGACCGAUAGUGAACCAGUACCGUGAGGGAAAGGCGAAAAGAACCCCGGCGAGGGGAGUGAAAAAGAACCUGAAACCGUGUACGUACAAGCAGUGGGAGCACGCUUAGGCGUGUGACUGCGUACCUUUUGUAUAAUGGGUCAGCGACUUAUAUUCUGUAGCAAGGUUAACCGAAUAGGGGAGCCGAAGGGAAACCGAGUCUUAACUGGGCGUUAAGUUGCAGGGUAUAGACCCGAAACCCGGUGAUCUAGCCAUGGGCAGGUUGAAGGUUGGGUAACACUAACUGGAGGACCGAACCGACUAAUGUUGAAAAAUUAGCGGAUGACUUGUGGCUGGGGGUGAAAGGCCAAUCAAACCGGGAGAUAGCUGGUUCUCCCCGAAAGCUAUUUAGGUAGCGCCUCGUGAAUUCAUCUCCGGGGGUAGAGCACUGUUUCGGCAAGGGGGUCAUCCCGACUUACCAACCCGAUGCAAACUGCGAAUACCGGAGAAUGUUAUCACGGGAGACACACGGCGGGUGCUAACGUCCGUCGUGAAGAGGGAAACAACCCAGACCGCCAGCUAAGGUCCCAAAGUCAUGGUUAAGUGGGAAACGAUGUGGGAAGGCCCAGACAGCCAGGAUGUUGGCUUAGAAGCAGCCAUCAUUUAAAGAAAGCGUAAUAGCUCACUGGUCGAGUCGGCCUGCGCGGAAGAUGUAACGGGGCUAAACCAUGCACCGAAGCUGCGGCAGCGACGCUGAUGCGUUGUUGGGUAGGGGAGCGUUCUGUAAGCCUGCGAAGGUGUGCUGUGAGGCAUGCUGGAGGUAU
rnacentral:rRNA from 1 species